UACGGAGGGGGCUAGCGUUGUUCGGAAUUACUGGGCGUAAAGCGCGCGUAGGCGGACCUGCAAGUCGGGGGUGAAAGCCCGAGGCUCAACCUCGGAACUGCCUUCGAUACUGCGGGUCUCGAGUCCGGGAGAGGUGAGUGGAAUUCCUAGUGUAGAGGUGAAAUUCGUAGAUAUUAGGAAGAACACCAGUGGCGAAGGCGGCUCACUGGCUCGGUACUGACGCUGAGGCG
rnacentral:rRNA from 1 species